UAGACUGAUGGACGUUACCCACAGAAGAAGCACCGGCUAACUCCGUGCCAGCAGCCGCGGUAAUACGGAGGGUGCGAGCGUUAAUCGGAAUUACUGGGCGUAAAGCGUGCGUAGGUGGUUGUAUAAGUUAUCUGUGAAAUCCCUGGGCUUAACCUGGGCAGGUCAGAUGAUACUGUAUGACUCGAGUAUGGGAGAGGGUAGUGGAAUUUCCGGUGUAGCGGUGAAAUGCGUAGAGAUCGGAAGGAACACCAGUGGCGAAGGCGGCUACCUGGCCUAAUACUGACACUGAGGCACGAAAGCGUGGGGAGCAAACAGGAUUAGAUACCCUGGUAGUCCACGCUGUAA
rnacentral:rRNA from 1 species